UAACACAUGAGCAGUGUAACUGAAACUGCGGUCGUGCGUUGCUAUUGGCUCAAUUCCGGCGAGUGCAGACCAGAUUUUACUGCACAUUUGUUGUACCCCAAAGAUAUGACGCGUUGAUGAAGCGGGACCUAGUCGUUCUCUUGAUACAUCCAUGGACCCAGUCUCCUCUUCAGUUGGAAACUGAAGUAGGAAAUGACGAGUGGACACAUUAAAGUCCAGUUAUAGGAUCCAGCAGCAUCGUUUGGCUCUGCUUUAUGGGAGCAUUACGGAUUUAGUGUUACCAUGAAAAUGACGGAAAAAAGUGGUGGAUAAAACGGUGACUGUGUGAGCACUGUGCAACACGUGUGGUUGAUGCUAGCGGCAACACUCCGGUCUCCUUCUCCCCGCAGCAUUUAAACAGCCUCUACAUGCAGACUCAGACUCAGACAGGCCAAAGACACAACUACAGCAUCGGGGAGGUUUAUAGUGAAAGAUAUGCAGCCUUAUGCAGUCGUGGAGGACGCUGGAUUUCAGCAUAUGAUUAACGUAACAUUACUUGUGCUAUAAUAUUCCCUCUCGCCGACACUUAAGCAACACAGUAAUUCCAGCAGCACAAUCCCUGUAAUGUGUUUUAUAUUUAUUAAUUAUUGUUAAAUAACACAGUGGUACAGAAAUCCAACCGUAUUCCUCCAAAUACUGCACUGUUUGAGUAGAAAAACUCAUCUUUCAAUUAAGAGAUGAUAAUCAGGGAAUUGACACAUGCUGUAUGUUAUACUGUUGUUGUUUUUUUAGUAUAGUUCUGGUUGAGCUUAUGCUUCAAUGUAUGUUGAUGGCCUUAGUCUAUAAUUACAUCAUAUUUAUAGGAAAAUAACAAAGCUGCAUUUUUUGUUUGCACUAAUGACUGUAGAAGACCUUUUCUUUCAGUUCAGAUUUGACAAUGAAGAAGAGUUGAUGUUCCUUAUGGAAGCCAUACUUUUGUUAAGGCAAACAUUUGUUAACUUAUUUUUGCCAAAUAAAUGAAAAGCAUGUUGAAAUUAGAACAUGACCUUGUCACUGUGACAUAAAUGAACCGAACCGAACCCUAAACCGUGAUAUGAACCCAACCGUGAAUUCUGUGAAGCGUUCCACCUCUAAUCAGUAUACUGUGCAACACUAGCAAACACUGGAGGCGGAGGUGCUAACAUGCAUUGUAGUAGACGGCCGCCUGGGUACAGCGUGACGUCACUGUGUGUAAAAGAACAAAAACACCAUAAUCUCUACUCUCUGCUUUCAUGCCAUAAUUUCCCUUUACUAGAGCACAGCGGACUGGCGGAGAUCCUGAAAUUAGCACCACUAUGUACUGAAUAUAGAAUCCAUUUUGAAUCAAAUUGUGACCCCGAGAUUCCAAAUCGAAUCAUGAGAUACUGAAAGAUUCACUCACCUCGUGCUACAUCCAUUGUUUGUAUACAGUCUAUGAUCAAUUCAUCUCAUGUCAUCAUUGGCCUGGCCUACAUAAGAGCUCUGUAUCCAGUGUGCUGUUGGUCAUACCAUAGAAGGAUUUAUUGCUUGUUUAUAGUGAAUAAUAAAGAAGAUAAGGAACUUUCUUAAAAAUCACACUCUGAAUCACAAUAUUGGUCUAAAUAAAGUCACAAUUGGAUUAUUCCCCAUAUACUCAGUGGCACCUGAAGCAACACCAUGCAGCCCCUUUGCUUUUCUUAAAAAGGUAAACUGUAGUGACAGGAGUUUAUUACCUGUUU